rnacentral:tRNA from 2 species
GGGUGUAUAGCUCAGUCGGUAGAGCACCUGCCUUACAAGCAGGGAGUCAUAGGUUCAAAUCCUGUUGCGCCCA